CCCGGGACAGGACCAACAAUCUCCCCUGGAGGUAAAACUGGGCUGUGCGGGCCCUGCUGGGGGAGGGGCCCCCGCAGGAGCCUGGAUGGGGCUGGAGACGUGCCGGGCACUGUUCCCCGCAGAGUCAUCAGCAACCACCUCUGCUGUCACCACACGGGCCACACCGACACGGACUCCCACGGCUACACCGAGAUCAACAGCCACGGGACCCACGGUGACCCGGGCCACAACGCAGCCCACAGCACCCCCAGUCAGUGUGGCCACGCAGUCCACGGCUCGGUCCACGGCACGCACCACGGUGCCCGUCUCAGGGACCGCCACAGGGCCCAUCACGAACUCGGCAACUCCGCACUGGACCGAAGAAACCCCUGUCACUGGGAAGACAGAGCACACGGAAACGCCACGACCACUGGAGACCACGACAGGCGAACACACACGGCACAGCACACUGCCAACAACCACCAGCGGAACGGGCAAGGAAACCAGCGGGGCCACGACAUACUCAGCAUUCACGGAGGGGCCACACACCAACACCCAAACAGCCACACACCCGCCAUCCACCACACCCGCCACCCCAACUCUUCCUGCCUCCACCACCUC
ensembl:lncRNA